AGACCAUAACAAACGUAAAUAUUUUGCUGGCAAUGUUCCAAUGGGGUACGAUAUAUAUGGUGUUAUUGCAACACGUAUACAAUGUUUGUGACUUGUGAGUCGCAAUCAAAACACUUUU